AGCCAAGGAUUGACUAGGGCAAACCCGGUAGAAAAGCCUACCGAAGCUUAAAACCUGUUACAAAACCGCCCAUUAGUUAAUCUCCGGCAUCUCCUCUGACCUUCGCGGGUGUGUUCUUUGCGACUUUCCGAAGGUGAAUUUGCCCACCUCCCAGCGUGGGUGCGAGUUGGGGCACGACCGAUUGCCAGCUGAACAUCACGAUUGGCCCGUUCGCGGACGAGCAUUGCCGGUGAGGCACGCGGAUUGGCCUCGUGGAGGAGAUUUGGCCCAUUUGAGCACCGCAACGCAACCUAGGACGCUCAAAUUGUAGGCCCGGUCGGCCAUCUUGCGAAUAUUGUUGUCCAAUUGUCGUUUGGAGGCAACAAAACCAUCGAAACACGUGCUCGCCAUCGUACAAAAGUGUGAACACGCGGUGAUUUCGAGUGCUUGACGACCACUGACUGCGAGCGACCAGCCGAUACGCUCAUUUUCCGGCUUUGCAACCCCCUUCCGGUCGCUCAGUGGAAAUUAGGAAACUUUUCACGUGAAAUUCUACUCCUCAAACGUCUGAGGACUGCGGGUGGACUACCCGUCGGGAGUAACCGGUGCUGUCGCAGCGGAGACCAGGAGCUGGGUCGCGCGCGGAAACGUCGCACGCUCGAGGAAGCGUACUG